GUUUGGUGAAAAAGCAUUUCACUGUAAAUCCUUCAUGGAAGAGGAGACUCUCAUUCAUACACAUUCAGCUCAUUUAGGGUUCUGGAGACUCAACCGGAGACAGCAAAGUCUCUGCAAUGAGGAGACAUAUCAUUGGGGAGCAAGAAGGGGGCAUUAGAAUAAGAAGGAGAGGGCAAGGCAUGAUGAGACAUAAAUAAUGAUAGUGCUUAAGAACUGUUCUGGAGACAGCCGGGCAGCAGAGUUCAUCGGUGUUAAAAGGACUGAACGGCCAUCCUUUUUUGCGUGAGAAAAAAGUCCAGAACAGACCAUGGGAGGCACACAGUACUACACAGAGCCAUGACUACAACAGAUAAAAGAGCGGGGACUGUGAAGACACACACACACAGAUUUGUGAAGAUUGGGUACGCACUAGCACAGCAGUCAACAUGCCCCUUUCCAAAAGUGAUCACCCCUAUAUGAGGCCGUUUCUGAAGGAGAAAGUCAUUAAUGGAGGUGCCAUCCCUGGAUUCCACCAGCUACAGGAAAAGCUACAGGAAACGUCUACCUGAAGGUGUGUGGACAAAGUACACCAGAAUCUGUAGAGAAACUCCAUGAGAUGCUACAAGACCAAGAGCUGGUUCAGUCGCUGCAGAUUCAGCUGAACAUCAUGGCAGGAAAGUGCAAAGUCAUCCUGCAACUUCUCGACAUCUUCCAGAGCAGACGCCCAGUGACAACAAAGAUCUUUCACUAUUUAGAGGACUUGCAGAUGAACAUUGCAGCCAACAAAGAACUACAGUAUGAGGCAUGUUCACACUAGUUUGACACAGUUGAUGACUUGCCCUCUGCUGUGAAAACAAAAAUCUUGAGCACUGUUGAAGAGGAAUACAGCAAGAGGAAAAACUUACAAUGUACAUGUCAGAUGAACAGCCUGCCAUGGAGUUCCUCUAAGAAGUUAGGGUGUUUGAUCCACAUCACAUUGCAUUUAAGGAUGACAGAGUGUCCAGCUACAAGGCUAUUACAGGCUUCAGUAAGGUACCGAGAGAUGAACUGGAUGCCUACCUGACCAAUGUAGGACCAGCAGCACUGAGAGCCAUAGUGGGGUGGUGGAUUUGGAUAUCUUCCGGGAUGGACAUCAAGAGAGACUUCCUGUGCUGAGCACACUGGCCAAACGCUACAAAGAUGCAGUGCGAAGCAUCAGUAUCUACAAGCUUGUGUUGUCCAGCCGUAGGCGAUCGACAUCUAAC
rnacentral:lncRNA from 1 species